CCAUCCAUGGGUUAAUGUAUAAUAAUAGGAUGAUGACAGAGAGAAGAAGACAACAGAUAAUUAGUACACCAAUUGUGAUUGUUGAACAGGUGAACAAUUGCAAUUGAAAUAAAGGUUUUUAUUCAAGAGUUUUUCAGGUGUUCUUUUAGGUUAAUUGGGUUCUUCAGGGUUAGACAAUGAAUGUGUGUUUGGGUUGAGUAAAUGAUUGUUUGAAUCAAACUGAAUUUUAUUGUUUCUGCCUUUAAACUGUUGUUCACUUUCAUGUUCACAUGUUAAUCUGUUAAUCUGUAAAAUUUUAGGUUUAAUUGACAUUUGGCUUCGUUUAAUAUCACUUGCUUUACACAUAACAAUUGACUUUGAGUCUUUACUUUUGGCUAUUCUCAGAGAUUUACACUUAAAAUUUGUCACAACUCCAAUAAAUGUUAGAUGAAAAUCAUCAUCAGUAGUCACCCUCAGGAGUAAGUAAUUUGUUAAUUCUUGGCAACUCGUUCAGUAAUUCAGCAAAAAAUUGUUCUUUCAGUUCAACAGUCUAACCUUGCUUGUCAGUUGUUUUAGUCUUGUAUCCAACGUUUAUGAAUUAAAUAAAAUUGAAUAGCUUUGAGUUUAUCUUCGUCACAAUUAAAUGAAAAAUAUUUAUCACAAUUCAACAAUCAGCUUGAAUAACGCGCGUUUGCUUUUUCGCGUCAUUGUUAAUCACAUGUGUUACAUAAACCCUUUGUUUCAAGUGAUGGCUUUUUGCUAGUUAAUGAAGCUGUAAAAAUCUCUUAAUUAUAUUGCUCUCUGUUAAUUAUGUUAAUUAUACUGUUUAUAUUUAACUGUUAUAUUUGUUAAUCUGUGCUGUUCACACUUUUACAGAUAAUUUGAGCAAAAAUGUUGUCUAAAGGUUAACCUGAUGAGCUUCAUUCAAUUGAAGCUCACAGCUUCUGCAAACAUGUUUAACCGCCUUUACCAUAAUGUUUGGUGAUUGCUGUUGUUUUUAAUUAAAACUGGAAACCAUCUCUAAUCAAUGGCAAUGGACAGACAUUAUCCUUAUUUAAGCUAUGUUUAUCCAUUCACUCGUUGAAAGUUAAGCAGUUUGGUUUUUGGGUGGUAAUCCCGCUAAUUUACAAGGUGAUCCUUUUGCCUCAAUUCUAAUCCUGUCUAUCUCUAAUUAUUAAAUUGACUGAUUGGACUGGCUGGACUGUUCAAAUUGCAUUUAUUACCAAUGGUCUAUUUAUAAAUCAAGUCGAUUAAUCAAUUUUGAAGUCCAACAACUUUGUGCAUCCUUGGAUCAUCAAAAUUGCUGGUUGCUGAGUGGAAACAAUAAUUUGACUGGAACCAAGAGAGGCAUAAAAAAGUCAACAUGUAUGGAUUAUCGUGAUUAAAAUUGAUCCUGAAAUUGAUUUAUCAAUGAUGAUUGAAUAUAGUUAUGGCUGAGAGAACAGAUCAACUCACAUUUAAAUGACAUGAAUUUUCCCAAUCAAACGUUGAACGUUUUUUAUCCUGAUAAUUUUUUCCUCUUCCUUCACCAUAUUAAUCAAAUGUUGUCACAUUGAUAUCUUUAAUCUAUGCAAAAGUUAACCUCCAAUAUGAGCAUGUUUCAAUGUUUGUCAACUCAACUGAAAAGGACUGAUGAAUGGUGAACAGGAGAAGAAGCAACAAAAAAAGCUUGAAAUGAAACCCUUUUUUCAUCCAUUAUUAUGAUUAAGUCAUUAAUGAGGAUUUUUAUUUGUCACUUCUUUGACAGAUCUUUUCAGUUUAUAUUUUCAUUGAAAGCAUAUGAAACAAUAGGACCAAGGAGAGAGGCCAAAAAAAGACGAAAUAGAUUGAUAAUUGGUAACUUGACUGGAUCUGAAAUGUUUCCCUUGGACCAUUUAAUCAAUACUUUUAUUCUCGAGAUUCUUGCAGUCUACAAAUUGUUUUCAAUCUUAAUUAAUCGUAACUUGACUUGAAUUCAUCAACUGGCAAUUCCUUGGCAAAGAAAGAAACAAAGAAUGGAUGAAAUACAGCGACAAACAAAAACGUUGAAAGUUAAUUAUUGUUAAUGACGAAAAUUUCAAUUUCCGUUGAACAAGAAACAUGGCAAAGUCAACCUUUCCAAAUUAAAUUUUAAUUAAUAUUAAUCAAUAUCCUUAAAUGCUGACAUGGAAUGAAAGUUCAAUCAAUAGUCACAUUGAUUUGAUUUACAGUGAAAUUGGAAGCAGCUCAAAAUGAUCAUUCUCAGCAUUCAUCAUUUUUGCUGAUCGAAGUCAAUGCUUAAAGUUACAAUCAUCUUGAACCUUGAUAACCUCAACCAAUUAUCGCUGUUAAUUACAAAAUAAUCACUUCAAUUGAAUAUUAAUAGAAUCGAGUAAAGGAAAUGGCAAAAAAGCAAUUAAUAAGAGCAAAAAUGGCACAAUUGGAAAGUGAAAGAAAAGCCAGAGUAAAUUGUUGAUUUUGGAUGGAUAAAUCUAUCUUGGAUUAAAAUUUACUUGUAUAUGUUUAUCAUGGAAACAAUUGAUCGUUUUGAUCCCUAAUUUGGCUUCAUCUUUGUCAUGGAACAAGAUUGAUGAAUAAAGCAAAUUCAGUUGAAUUGAAUCAAGUGAAAUGAAGUGAACAAGAGAAAGUAAAAGUUGCGAACAAAAAACAAGCACAAUUAUAAGUCGAAAUGGUAAAUCGAUUGAUUGAUGAACGUGAAAUGGAGAGUCAAAAAAUGUUGACAUUGAUUUAUCGAGGAAACAUUGGUGAUAUUUAAUCAGGCCAAUAUUGAAUCCCAGAUAAUCGUGAAAUAAUGAGAGGAGAAUCCAGACAAAAGUCCGUCCAAAAUGAUGAAGUGAAAAUUCCAUGUUGUCAUGAAUGAUUGAAAGCAGGCAAAAAAAACAGUCUCGUUUUUGAGAGAAAAAAUAAAUUGAAAUGAAAUUCGCAAAUCAUGAAUUCAAAGCCAAAGGAAAGCUCAAAAGUGACUGUCAAACCUUAAACUCAAAACCAAAUGUACCCAAGACUAACGACUACUAAUGUUAACAAUUGCAGUCGGACAAGAUUGAAUUUAAAAACAAUUUACUUGAAA